UACGGAGGGUGCGAGCGUUGUCCGGAAUCAUUGGGCGUAAAGGGCGCGUAGGUGGCCCCUCAAGCGUGCGGUGAAAGUCAGGGGCUCAACCCCUGAUCGGCCGUGCGAACUGGGGAGCUUGAGCACUGUAGAGGCAGGCGGAAUUCCGGGUGUAGCGAUGGAAUGCGUAGAGAUCCGGAAGAACACCGGUGGCGAAGGCGGCCUGCUGGGCAGUUUUGCUGACACUGAGGCGCGACAGCGUGGGGAGCAAACAGG
rnacentral:rRNA from 1 species